CAUUUUUCUCUUUGUUUGUAGGCCUGACCGUUUGUCCUUGAGCCGUAGAUGGUGAACAAUCCGCUAGCUGUCUUGCUCUGACUGGUGCACUGGACAUGAUUUCAAUAGUCAGCCAGACCAUGAUUGAGCUUAAGGAUUGUGCUGCGGAUGCAGCCUGUGCAGUUCCGGGAGAAAGUCACUGUCUUGGGCAAUGCGGUCUGGUAUCAGGUCUGGAUGAUCCUUGCCUGACUGCGGGUUUGUGUACACCUCAAUCCGACUCUGUGUCCUGAACAGAGGCCGCAGUGAUGCAGCGCUUGUGAACGAUCCAUCAACAUCCUAAAAAGGUCAACACUACACCAAGCUGGGAAAAUUGAUCCUGAUAGUCAUCCCCAGGUAGUGGAAUGAAUGUUCACUGAACUACAGAGGAAUCACACCCAAAUGACUUUCCUGCCACGACAUUAGUGUGGCCACUCGCGUAGGAAUUCCUUAGCAAACAUGCUCUUUUGCAUGGUGACUGUGGGCAUUUUUGCAAAACUUACGCUUUCAACACUGGAUUUUAAAGAGAAUACUUAAUAAAAUGUCGCUAACAGGACUUAUUUAUAUGAGAGAGACUAUCUGGAUGCGCAUUAAGUGUCACUUUGUGUCGUAAGCUGUUGAAGGAGCGAUUUGCGCCUUUUUAAGUGUUAAUUUUGGGUAGCCGGCUUGUAUCGGCUUGAAAGCUGCAAAUUAUGCCUCUCAUCAUAAUAGCAUUAAUUUUUGUAAUUGCAAUGUGUAUGUUUAGAUUGUAAGUGAAGCUUUUAAUAAUAAUUUUCUUAAAAAACAUGA